rnacentral:rRNA from 1 species
AGUGAACGCUGGCGGCGUGCCUAAUACAUGCAAGUCGAACGGAGUGGCGCACGGGCGAGUAAGGUAUAGCUAAUCUGCCCUACACUAGAGGACAACAGUUGGAAACGGCUGCUAAUACUCUAUAGUGUAGGAUGAGGCUAUAUUGUAUCAGCUAGUUGGUGAGGGAAUGGCUCACCAAGGCUAUGACGAAUAACUGGUCUGUGAGGAUGCUCAGUAACACUUGAACUGAGGCACGGUCCAGACACCUACGGGAGGCAGCAGUAGGGAAUAUUGCUCAAUGGGGGAAACCCUGAAGCAGCAACGCCGCGUGGAGUAUGACACUUUUCGGAGCGUAAACUCCUUUUGUUAGGGAAGCGGUACCUAACGAAUAAGCACCGGCUAACUCCGUGCCAGCAGCCGCGGUAAUAC